CUACGGGGGGCAGCAGUGGGGAAUAUUGGACAAUGGGGGAAACCCUGAUCCAGCAAUGCCGCGUGUGUGAAGAAGGCCUGCGGGUUGUAAAGCACUUUCGGUUGGGAGGACUGCUUCUAGCACUAAUAUUGUUGGAAGUUGACGUUACCUUCAGAAGAAGCACCGGCUAACUCCGUGCCAGCAGCCGCGGUAAUACGGAGGGUGCAAGCGUUAAUCGGAAUUACUGGGCGUAAAGCGCGCGUAGGCGGCUAGAUCAGUCGGGUGUGAAAGCCCCGGGCUUAACCUGGGAACUGCAUCCGAUACUGUCUAGCUUGAGUACAGGAGAGGAGAGUGGAAUUCCACAUGUAGCGGUGAAAUGCGUAGAUAUGUGGAGGAACCACAAUGGCGAAGGCCGCCCUCUUGACUGAUGCAUACGCGGCGGCGUGCAAGCGGGGGCAGCACAUAGGAUUAGAUACCCCGGUAGUC
rnacentral:rRNA from 1 species